CAGUCCUUAGAAAAGAGUCUGCUUUAGCAAGGCUUUGCGUUCUGCAGAGUUACGAAGCUUCAACUGAAGUGUUUGAGUUCUUAGAUGGUCUCGCUGUGCGAUG